rnacentral:rRNA from 1 species
AUUGAACGCUGGCGGCAUGCUUUACACAUGCAAGUCGAACGGUAACAGGCCGCAAGGUGCUGACGAGUGGCGAACGGGUGAGUAAUGCAUCGGAACGUGCCCAGUCGUGGGGGAUAACUACUCGAUAGAGUAGCUAAUACCGCAUACGAUCUAUGGAUGAAAGCGGGGGACCGUAAGGCCUCGCGCGAUUGGAGCGGCCGAUGUCAGAUUAGGUAGUUGGUGGGGUAAAGGCUCACCAAGCCAACGAUCUGUAGCUGAUCUGAGAGGAUGACCAGCCACACUGGAACUGAGACACGGCCCAGACUCCUACGGGAGGCAGCAGUGGGGAAUUUUGGACAAUGGGCGCAAGCCUGAUCCAGCAAUGCCGCGUGCAGGAAGAAGGCCUUCGGGUUGUAAACUGCUUUUGUACGGAACGAAACGGCUCUGGUUAAUACCCGGGGCUAAUGACGGUACCGUAAGAAUAAGCACCGGCUAACUACGUG